rnacentral:rRNA from 1 species
AUUGAACGAUGGCGGCAGGCAUAACACAUGCAAGAAGAACGAGUGGCGGACGGGUGAGUACUGUCUGGGAAACUGCAAGAUGGAGGGGGAUAACUAAUGGAAACGGUAGCUAAUACCGAAUAACAUCAGAUGUGCCCAGAGGGGAUUAGCUAGUAGGUGAGGUAAAGGCUCACCUAGGAGACGAUCCCUAGCUGGUCUGAGAGGAUGACCAGCCACACUGAAGCUGAGUCACGGUCCAGACUCCGACGGAAGUCAGCAUUGUGGAAUUUUGCACAAUGGGCGCUAGCCUGAUCCAGCAAUGCCGCUUGUAUGAAGAAGGCCUUCGGGUUGUAAAGUACUUUCAGCGAGGAGGCUUUACUCGCAGAAGAAGCACCGGCUAACUCCGUGCCGGCGACCUCGGUAAUUC